rnacentral:rRNA from 1 species
AUGAGGGACAUGGCAGAGAGGAGAUCAAGGCAUGGGCAUGGGCAUGGGCACGGGCAUGCCAACGUCGUGCCGUUCGGGGCAGGCGCAGGAGGAGGGUUGCAGCAUGGAGAGCAUGAGCAGGAGGUCAAGGAGAAGAAGCUCGACAUGAGCGGCCUGUCCAUGGACACUAUCCCGCACCUCACCAUGUCCCUUGGCCACAUCACCACCUUGGACCUCUCCAACAACAAUCUCGAGAGCAUUCCAGAGUCAAUGAUCGCGCGGCUGCUGAACGUGGUGGUGCUGGACGUGCGCUCCAACCAGCUCAAGUCGCUGCCCAACUCCAUCGGCUGCCUCUCCAAGCUCCGGGUCCUCAACGUCUCCGGCAACCUGCUCCAGUCCCUUCCCGCCACCAUCGAGGAGUGCCGUGCGCUGGAGGAGCUGAACGCCAACUUCAACCAGCUGACGCGGCUGCCGGACACGCUGGGCUUCGAGCUCCACAGCCUCCGGAGGCUCUCCGUCAACUCCAACAAGCUCACCAGCCUCCCCUUCUCCACGUCCCACAUGACGGCGCUGCGGGCCCUGGACGCGCGCCUCAACUGCAUCCGCGCCCUCCCCGAGGGCCUCGAGAACCUCGUCAACCUCGAGGUGCUCAACGUCAGCCAGAACUUCCACUUCCUUAGGGAGCUGCCCUACGGCCUGGGGCUCCUCACCUCGCUCCGGGAGCUUGACAUCAGCUACAACUCCAUCUCCGUGCUCCCAGACUCCAUGGGCUGCCUAGCCAAGCUCAACAAGUUCAGCGCCGUCGGGAACCCGCUCGUCUGCCCGCCUAUGGACAUCGUCGAGCAGAGCCUUGACGCCAUGCGUACCUACCUCAGCUCCAGGAUGAACGGCACCGGCGUCAACGCCAAGAAGAAGAAGGGGUGGCUGCCCAGGAUGGUCAAGUACAACACCUUCUCCGGGCGGAUGACUCCCGGACGCAAGAGUGCCCACGACAACUCUGAGGGCUUCUCGAUGUCGGAUUACCACUCACUCAACGGCUCCGCAUCUCCGGGGUUCCUCUCCAUGCUUUCGCCACGACGGCUCUUCUCGCCACGGAGAGAUUCGCCCAAGCAUCAUUAA